GUAUGGUGCAAGCGUUAUCCGGAUUUACUGGGUGUAAAGGGAGCGUAGACGGAUAGGCAAGUCUGGAGUGAAAGCCCGGGGCUUAACCCCGGGACUGCUUUGGAAACUGUUUAUCUAGAGUGCUGGAGAGGUAAGUGGAAUUCCUAGUGUAGCGGUGAAAUGCGUAGAUAUUAGGAGGAACACCAGUGGCGAAGGCGGCUUACUGGACAGUAACUGACGUUGAGGCUCGAAAGCGUGGGGAGCAAACAGGAUUAGAUACCCUGGUAGUCCACGCCGUAAACGAUGACUGCUAGGUGUCGGGUGGCAAAGCCAUUCGGUGCCGCAGCUAACGCAAUAAGCAGUCCACCUGGGGAGUACGUUCGCAAGAAUG
rnacentral:rRNA from 1 species